UUUUUUUUUUUUAAAUUUGUUCAAUACUGUUUCCUCGGGAAGGGGUUCUUAUCUAAUUAUUUAUUAUUUAAUUCGAUGUUAAUAUUUUCUCGUCCAUACGAGAUAUCCCACAUUUCAUUUCUUCAAAUUCUCCUUGCACAGGUAUAGUCCAAACUCCAGUUCGCAAAGGUUUUCAAUUUCUCCUCGCAAUGGGUCCCCACCAGUUAAGGGACAUAUAAUAGUGUCCAGUUCGCAAAGGGCUUUUUUAAAAAUUUAUCCUCGCAAAGGUUGUCGGUCUUCCAGAGGUUCAAACUGUCCAGGUGGUCCAGGUGACAUCCGCUAAAUUCCAGAGGUUCAAACUGUCCAGGUGACCUCCGCUAAAGGUGGUGGUGGGGUAAGGGUCUUCCCUCUGUCCUCUCGCAGUAGGUUCUGCACAUUAGUUUAUUUGAUGUCCGUGUUCCCUCCCCUUGUCCAUAGAGGACAUGCUGUGUUGUUGGGCUUUCCCUUAUAAACCCUUCUUUCAUGUACUGAACCACCGAUGUGGGACUAAUUAAUAAGUUCCAGUUCAAAGCCCAACCCAAUCUUUUUCCAUUUCGCAUCAGUCCCACAUGGUAAGCGCCCCUAAGGCUAUUUGUGUCGAAUAAAGCCUGCAGUGCGAUCAGUCAAUGUCGGACCAUGCUCAACUAUUUUAUUCAAAGUAAUGUUUUUUUAUUUUUUAGGAUAAAAGACUGUUUACUACUCUCGUGUUUUUUGGUUUUCAACAUUUAGUACAUCAAGUUUUUUUUCGUCUCAGAGUCAUACCUAAAGUGUAAAUUUUGGGACAGUCUCAUACAUCUGUUAGUCAAACUGUUACGUCUCCCGUUAACUGUGACGUGACGUCCACGUGGACAAUGACUGAGCGUCACGUGUCAUCCACGUGG
rnacentral:lncRNA from 1 species